rnacentral:lncRNA from 1 species
AAAUAACUGUCAGUGUGCUUAAUCAUUGAGUGACAACAAUUUUUAACUUUAAGUAAAUUAAGAGUUGAACGAAGUAUAAUUUGAUUUUGUUUAAUAUUCAUGGGAUGCUUGACUAUCUAAGUGCUGUUAGGAAAGAAAAUCAUUUACUGAACAUUUUUUGUGCUUUGAUGAAUAACUAUAAGGAAGUUUUGAAUUUAGACAUUGAAUUAUAGGAGUUGUAAUGCUAAGAAUAUAGUAGAUGACAAUUGAGCUCAAAAAGAGAUAACUAAAUACUCCAUUGUUGAUAUAUGAAAGCAUGACCUUUGAAAACUUAUUAGUAUUCUGUCUAGAUCUAAUAAGGCUGUACUUUUAUGUUGUUAGAAGCCAUGUAUAAUUUUCCUUUUUAAGAUGACCUAAAGAUCAUGCCUAUAAGCUCUGUCAGUUCCGAAAUAUGUUUUCCUCUAUCUAAGUAUGAAGAAUUUGAACCUUAAUGUGUUUUUGCCUUUAUGAUACUAGAUACAUUAUCUAUGAAUCCGAUAAUUCCUCGCGUUAGUUAUUUUAAAAUACAUUUAUAUUAAAUAUCUUGUAUAAACAAACAAACAACAACCCAGUAUAAUCCCACAUAGUGGGGUAUGGGGAGGUUAGUAUGUACGCAACCUUACCUCUACCCUGGGGUAGAGAGACUGUUUCCAAAUAGACCCCCGGCAUCCUUUUCUCCAAGAACUUCCCACCUUGCUAUUGGGGAGACUCGAACUCACAACCUCUUAUCUAUAUGUAAAGGUUAGUAAUUGGAUACACUUGAGUGUCAUCUUUGUGAUAGACGUCAUGUUCAAAGUCCUCGAAAUACUGAAUCUGCUUCAGGAUAGGAAGAAUGAGUAUUUGGCUUAUUGGUCCAUUGUUGCGAUUUCUAAACAAAAAUGGCAGAUUGACUUUUGUAGUUGAAUAGUAUUAUUUAGAUGCUGUAACUUAGUCAUAAUAUUUUCAUGUCAUAGAGUUGGUCAUUUAAGACCUUGAUGUUAGAGUUAUAGAACAAAAAUCUAUAUUCUUCUUAAAGGAAACAGUUUUAUGUGGAGUAUUUCAUCUUAUAAACUUUUCUGGGAUGGGUUACAUUACGAGUCUUUACUUUCUUAUUAUUUAUCUCUUAUGUAGUAUAAAGAAUCAGAUUCCAUUUUUGUUGAGAUAUAGGCUAUGAUGAUACACUAAUUCUGAGCCUAAUAAUUGGUCAUUUCCUUAACUGUGGCUAAUUCUGUAAUUCCUUUAUUCUUUUGCAUUCUUUUGUAAACUAGGCUAUAUGUGCAAAUAGGUUGUAUUUGUAAAUAGGCUAGUUUUGUAAUAAGUAUAUCUGAUAUAUACUCCCUCUUAACACUUGACCCUUCAGAGGGGUCAUUUGGCUUUUGGAACCGAGUCUUCUUCGAGACUCUUCUAUUCUCUCCUCCUUCUCUCUACUUUCUCUCUCUAAAUUUUCUCCGAUUCUCUGCAUGUUUUCAAUUUUCUAACUCUUAUGUCUUAUUUGCCUUUGCAUAUGCACAUGGAUCAAAUGGAGUCAAAUUCAAGACUCUUGCAAUGAAGUCGCAAAAAUGAGAGCCAACACCCAUACCUCGAUCAUGGAGUCAACACAGUAUAUUUUCUUAAAAUGCACCAAAUUGCAAGAAAAACAACCUAAACUCUUGGGGACGCCUAUGGCACCCUUUUCUUCUUUUUCUUUCUCGCUCUUCAUUCGUUAUAUCUUACCUAAUAUGAGUCUUGAUUUAUUUGAGUGCUUUGUGGUUCGUUAAAGCUGAAGAACUGGUAGCUAAUUGUUUAUGGACUAUGUUAUAGUUGAUAACACAUUUUCUUCUUCUUAAGAUAUGGACUUGAAGACUUUUAAAUUCAAUAACUUAUUUACCGUAGCAUUGUUUCGUAGUUUUGGUGAUAUGUAUAACAAUAUAGAAUAAUCAAUCUAAAAGACUACGUUCAUACUCGUGAAGUAUUGAAGUUUGCCAAUAUCUUGGAAAAUCUU